GGGGGAUAUUGCGCAAUGGGGGCAACCCUGACGCAGCAACGCCGCGUGAAGGAUGAAGGUUUUCGGAUUGUAAACUUCUUUUAUUAAGGACGAAAAAUGACGGUACUUAAUGAAUAAGCUCCGGCUAACUACGUGCCAGCAGCCGCGGUAAUACGUAGGGAGCAAGCGUUGUCCGGAUUUACUGGGUGUAAAGGGUGCGUAGGCGGCUUUGCAAGUCAGAUGUGAAAUCUAUGGGCUCAACCCAUAAACUGCAUUUGAAACUGUAGAGCUUGAGUGAAGUAGAGGCAGGCGGAAUUCCCCGUGUAGCGGUGAAAUGCGUAGAGAUGGGGAGGAACACCAGUGACGAAGGCGGCCUGCUGGGCUUUAACUGACGCUGAGGCACGAAAGCGUGGGUAGCAAACAGGAUUAGAUACCCUGGUAGUCCACGCUGUAAACGAUGAUUACUAGGUGUGGGGGGUCUGACCCCUUCCGUGCCGGAGUUAACACAAUAAGUAAUCCACCUGGGGAGUACGGCCGCAAGGUUGAAACUCAAAGGAAUUGACGGGGGCCCGCACAAGCAGUGGAGUAUGUGGUUUAAUUCGAAGCAACGCGAAGAACCUUACCAGGUCUUGACAUCCAACUAACGAAGUAGAGAUACAUUAGGUGCCCUUCGGGGAAAGUUGAGACAGGUGGUGCAUGGUUGUCGUCAGCUCGUGUCGUGAGAUGUUGGGUUAAGUCCCGCAACGAGCGCAACCCUUGCUAUUAGUUGCUACGCAAGAGCACUCUAAUAGGACUGCCGUUGACAAAACGGAGGAAGGUGGGGACGACGUCAAAUCAUCAUGCCCCUUAUGACCUGGGCUACACACGUACUACAAUGGAUGUUAACAGAGGGAAGCAAGACAGCGAUGUGGAGCAAACCCCUAAAAACAUUCUCAGUUCAGAUUGCAGGCUGCAACCCGCCUGCAUGAAGAUGGAAUUGCUAGUAAUCGCGGAUCAGCAUGCCGCGGUGAAUACGUUCCCG
rnacentral:rRNA from 1 species